rnacentral:rRNA from 1 species
UACGGAGGGGGCUAGCGUUGUUCGGAAUUACUGGGCGUAAAGCGCACGUAGGCGGCUUUGCAAGUUAGAGGUGAAAGCCCAGGGCUCAACCCUGGAAUUGCCUUUAAGACUGCAUCGCUAGAAUUGUGGAGAGGUAAGUGGAAUUCCGAGUGUAGAGGUGAAAUUCGUAGAUAUUAGGAAGAACACCGGUGGCGAAGGCGGCCCACUGGUCCGGUACUGACGCUGAGGUGCGAAAGCGUGGGGAGCAAACCGG